AACAAAUGCCCUGCUUCCAGGAAAAGCCUCUAAGCAUCAGGUAACAUCAAAUCGUACCCCAAACCGACACAGGUGGUCAGGUAGAGAAUACCAAGGCGCUUGAGAGAACUCGGGUGAAGGAACUAGGCAAAAUGGUGCCGUAACUUCGGGAGAAGGCACGCUGAUAUGUAGGUGAAGUCCCUUGCGGAUGGAGCUGAAAUCAGUCGAAGAUACCAGCUGGCUGCAACUGUUUAUUAAAAACACAGCACUGUGCAAACACGAAAGUGGACGUAUACGGUGUGACGCCUGCCCGGUGCCGGAAGGUUAAUUGAUGGGGUCAGCGCAAGCGAAGCUCUUGAUCGAAGCCCCGGUAAACGGCGGCCGUAACUAUAACGGUCCUAAGGUAGCGAAAUUCCUUGUCGGGUAAGUUCCGACCUGCACGAAUGGCGUAAUGAUGGCCAGGCUGUCUCCACCCGAGACUCAGUGAAAUUGAACUCGCUGUGAAGAUGCAGUGUACCCGCGGCAAGACGGAAAGACCCCGUGAACCUUUACUAUAGCUUGACACUGAACAUUGAGCCUUGAUGUGUAGGAUAGGUGGGAGGCUUGGAAGUGUGGACGCCAGUCUGCAUGGAGCCGACCUUGAAAUACCACCCUUUAAUGUUUGAUGUUCUAACGUUGACCCGUAAUCCGGGUUGCGGACAGUGUCUGGUGGGUAGUUUGACUGGGGCGGUCUCCUCCUAAAGAGUAACGGAGGAGCACGAAGGUUGGCUAAUCCUGGUCGGACAUCAGGAGGUUAGUGCAAUGGCAUAAGCCAGCUUGACUGCGAGCGUGACGGCGCGAGCAGGUGCGAAAGCAGGUCAUAGUGAUCCGGUGGUUCUGAAUGGAAGGGCCAUCGCUCAACGGAUAAAAGGUACUCCGGGGAUAACAGGCUGAUACCGCCCAAGAGUUCAUAUCGACGGCGGUGUUUGGCACCUCGAUGUCGGCUCAUCACAUCCUGGGGCUGAAGUAGGUCCCAAGGGUAUGGCUGUUCGCCAUUUAAAGUGGUACGCGAGCUGGGUUUAGAACGUCGUGAGACAGUUCGGUCCCUAUCUGCCGUGGGCGCUGGAGAACUGAGGGGGGCUGCUCCUAGUACGAGAGGACCGGAGUGGACGCAUCACUGGUGUUCGGGUUGUCAUGCCAAUGGCACUGCCCGGUAGCUAAAUGCGGAAGAGAUAAGUGCUGAAAGCAUCUAAGCACGAAACUUGCCCCGAGAUGAGUUCUCCCUGACUCCUUGAGAGUCCUGAAGGAACGUUGAAGACGACGACGUUGAUAGGCCGGGUGUGUAAGCGCAGCGAUGCGUUGAGCUAACCGGUACUAAUGAACCGUGAGGCUUAACCUUACAACGCCGAAGCUGUU
rnacentral:rRNA from 1 species